CGAAGGCCUCCGGCGACGGCGACGCAAGGAGAGUUCCGAUCAGCAAGCAACUGGUUUUGUCCCUUCUUGCAUCUCUUCGUCUUCCCUCCGGUGAGAAAUUGGUCAGAAUUUUUGGGUGCCCCUACAUAUCAGCAAGCAACUGUUUUGGUAAGGAGAGAUGGGAGAAAGGAAGGUGUUGAACAAGUACUACCCGUCGGACUUCGAUCCGGCCAAGAUUCCGAGGCGGAGGCAGCCGAAGAACCAGCAGAUGAAGGUGCGGAUGAUGCUUCCCAUGAGCAUUCGCUGCGGCACCUGCAGCAAUUACAUCUACAAAGGUACCAAGUUCAACUCCCGCAAGGAAGAAGUCAUCUGCGAGGUAUGCAUAU